rnacentral:rRNA from 1 species
CCAAUAGCGUAUAUUAAAGUUGUUGCAGUUAAAAAGCUCGUAGUUGAAUUUCGGGAUCAAUACGUCGGUCGUGCUUCGGUACGUACUGGCGUAAUUGAUUUCUCCCUUCUGACGAACCAUGAUGUCAUUAACUUGGUGUCAUGGGAAAUCAGGACUGUUACUUUGAAAAAAUUAGAGUGUUUAAAGCAGGUUCACGCUUGAAUACAUUAGCAUGGAAUAAUGAAAUAGGACGUUCGAUCCUAUUUUGUUGGUUUUUAGGAUCAACGUAAUGAUUAAUAGGGAUAGUUGGGGGCAUUAGUAUUCAAUUGUCAGAGGUGAAAUUCUUGGAUUUAUUGAAGACUAACUACUGCGAAAGCAUUUGCCAAGGAUGUUUUCAUUAAUCAAGAACGAAAGUUAGGGGAUCGAAGACGAUCAGAUACCGUCGUAGUCUUAACCAUAAACUAUGCCGACUAGGGAUCGGAUGAUGUUAAUUUUUUAAUGACUCAUUCGGCGCCUUACG